rnacentral:rRNA from 1 species
AAUCUUCCACAAUGGACGAAAGUCUGAUGGAGCAACGCCGCGUGAGUGAAGAAGGGUUUCGGCUCGUAAAGCUCUGUUGGUAGUGAAGAAAGAUAGAGGUAGUAACUGGCCUUUAUUUGACGGUAAUUACUUAGAAAGUCACGGCUAACUACGUGCCAGCAGCCGCGGUAAUACGUAGGUGGCAAGCGUUGUCCGGAUUUAUUGGGCGUAAAGCGAGUGCAGGCGGUUCAAUAAGUCUGAUGUGAAAGCCUUCGGCUCAACCGGAGAAUUGCAUCAGAAACUGUUGAACUUGAGUGCAGAAGAGGAGAGUGGAACUCCAUGUGUAGCGGUGGAAUGCGUAGAUAUAUGGAAGAACACCAGUGGCGAAGGCGGCUCUCUGGUCUGCAACUGACGCUGAGGCUCGAAAGCAUGGGUAGCGAACAG